rfam:Betaproteobacteria bacterium CG2_30_68_42 cg2_3.0_scaffold_204_c, whole genome shotgun sequence.
GAAGUCCGCCAGGCAGCCGCUGCACGCCCCGCGCGUGUGGAGGAAAGUCCGGGCCCCACAGAGCAGGAUGCCGGCUAACGGCCGGGCGCAGCAAGUCGCAAGACCCAAGGCGACGGAAAGUGCAACAGAGAGCAGACCGCCGAUGGCCUCGCGAGAGGAUCAGGCAAGGGUGAAACGGCGAGGCAAGAGCUCACCGCGUCCGUGGCGACACGGGCGGCACGGCAAACCCCAUCCGGAGCAAGGCCAAAUAGGGAAGCUAUAGCGCUGCUCGCGCUGCUUCCGGGUAGGCCGCACGAGCGGCGUGGCAACACGCCGCCAAGAGGAAUGGCUGCCCACGACAGAACCCGGCUUAUCGGCGGACUUCCACC